GCUGGGAGCAGUGGCGCACGCCUGUCAUCUCAGCAGCUCGGGAGGCUGAGACAGGAGGAUGGCGAGUUCAAAGCCAGCCUCAGCAACUUAGCGAGACCCUGUCUCAA
rnacentral:sRNA from 1 species